UCAGCAUCACAAACAUAUCACGCAUCAAAGAUCCAAGAAAGGAGUUUUGCCAGUAUAAAGUUGGGGAUUUGGUGAAAGCCAGCUGCCAUGGCUUUUCUGGCGUGCAUCCCGCCAAGAUCUUAGGUAGGCCUUUUCAAGCAAGUUUCUGUUUACAAUAUUUACACAAAUUUUGUCAGAAUGUAUUAAGUUUAUUUUAACUUGAGGAUAAUUAAAACUGCAGUUGGACUAUACAGUCCUACAUAUUAGCCCUUCUUGAUUCCCUCCAUUUUGUUGACAAAAUACAUAUUCUUAUGUGGACAAACAUUUUUAAAUAAUAAAAGUACGAUUAUGAAAAUUUACAUGAUUUAGAAAUAAGAAAAUGUGUUUAUAAUAGUAUAGAAUUUCCCUUCCCUAAAACUGAAAAAAAUAUUUAUUUCUUUAAGAAAAUAUUUGCUUGCCCUCUAGGCCUCUCCCGACUAGGGAUAAAAAGGGUCGAGUAGGAAAGUAGGGAGAAAAUUCUUUUUUAUUCACAUGAAGUUAAAAAAGCUAUAAAUUAGAUAAGAAAAUUUCGGAAUGAGUAAUAAAAAAAAUGUUAACUGGAGGUUAAAAAAGUUUUUGAGUCUUUUUUUUUAAAAUUUUUAAUAAUAAUAAUAAAGCUUUGAAAUAAAUGGAUUGUGAUUUUCUUUUAUCUUGGCUUCUUUUUCUUAUUCUAGAUGAUGGAGCUGAUGCCUGGUAGUGGGAUCUACAUUUAUCCCAAAGAUAUACAAGCUUUAUAUAAGCCAAAAAAAAACCCAACAAGUGGAACUUUUCAGGAAGGGGAACCUAACUGGUGCAAAUGAAAAGACCAUUUUAAACACUAUUCCUGACGAUGCCGGGAUUCAGAGGCCAUUGUCAAGUUUUCGAUGAGGACCAAGAUUAGUUCCCAAGUCAGCCUCCAGAACAUGAAACAGACCUAGCUUUUAUACAUUCAGUAAUGUGAGAUAUAUAUAUAUAUAUAUAUAUAUAUAUGGGAUUCCCUUCAUAAGGGAUUGUCCAAUUUUUAAUGUGAUAAUAUGUACAAAGAGUUAGUGAUGAAUAUUUUAUUUAUAUUUUUGUGCCAAACUUUAUAAAUGAUUGAUUGUUUGAUGUUUUCCGCCACGCUCAACAAUUUUUCAGUUAUCUGGUGGCACCCAGUUUUUAUUGGUGGAAGAGAGAACCCAGAUACAAUGUACCUUGGAAGAGACCACCGACCUUCCGAAAGUAAACUGGGAAACUUUCUCACUUACCGGCGCGAGCGGGAUUCGAACCCGCGCCGACAGAGGUGAGAGGCCAUGUGAUUUGGAGCGCGAUGCUCUAACCACUUGGCCACCUUUAUAAAUGAAAUUAAUAUACCAAUAAUAGUCGCUGUUUAUAAUCGGUAAUGUCUUAUUAUCCCCAUCUUUUUUGUAACUUUUCCAUAACUUUUGUCGGGUAUAACUUUUUUGUAACUUUUCCAUAACUUUUGUCGGGUAUAACUUUUAUGUAACUUUCUCCAUAACUUUUGUUGGGUAUAACUUUUUUGUAACUUUUCCAUAACUUUUGUCGGGUAUAACUUUUUUGUAACUUUUCCAUAACUUUUGUCGGGUAUAACUUUUUUGUAACUUUUCCAUAACUUUUGUCGGGUAUAACUUUUAUGUAACUUUCUCCAUAACUUUUGUUGGGUAUAACUUUUUUGUAACUUUUCCAUAACUUUUGUCAGGUAUAACUUUUUUGUAACUUUUCCACAAUUUUUGUUGGGUAUAACUUUUUUGUAACUUUUCCAUAACUUAAGUAUAACUUUUUGAUAACUUUUGUGAAGUAUAACUUUUUUGAAGUAUAACUUUUUGAUAACUUUUAUGCACUUGUUGUAUUCAUGUUGAAAUAAAAGAUGAUAACUUAUA